AACGAACGCUGGCGGCAUGCCUAACACAUGCAAGUCGAUCGAACCCCUCGGGGUUCGUCGCGCACGGGAGCGAAACGCGUGGAAAUCUGCUCUUUCCCUCGGUAUAACAGGUAGAAAUGACUGCUAAUACCAGAGGAUGUCUUCGGGCCAAAGAUAUCUCGGCAAAGGAUGAGCGCGCGGUGGAUUAGGUAGUUGGUGGGGUAAAGGCCUACCAAGCCGAAGACCCUUAGCUGGUCUUAGAGGAUGAUCAGACACACUGGGACUGAGACACGGCCCAGACUCCUACGGGAGGCAGCAGUGGGGAAUAUUGGACAAUGGGCGCAAGCCUGAUCCAGCAAUGCCGCGUGAGUGAUGAAGGCCUUCGGGUUGUAAAGCUCUUUUACCAGGGAUGAUAAUGACAGUACCGGGAGAAUAAGCUCCGGCUAACUCCGUGCCAGCAGCCGCCGUAACAC
rnacentral:rRNA from 1 species